rnacentral:rRNA from 1 species
UACGUAGGGAGCAAGCGUUGUCCGGAAUUACUGGGCGUGAAGCGCGCGUAGGCGGCUAUUCAAGUCAGAGGUGAAAGCCCGGGGCUCAACCCCGGAACUGCCUUUGAAACUAGGUAGCUAGAAUCUUGGAGAGGCGAGUGGAAUUCCUGGUGUAGCGGUGAAAUGCGCAGAUAUCAGGAGGAACACCAAUGGCGAAGGCAGCUCGCUGGGACGGUACUGACGCUGAGGCGCGAAAGCGUGGGGAGCAAACAGG